CAAGAAUGAAACUCAAAGGAAUUGACGGGGGCCCGCACAAGCGGAGGAACAUGUGGUUUAAUUCGAUGAUACGCGAGGAACCUUACCCGGGCUUGAAAGUUAGUGACGGAUCUUGAAAGAGGUCUCCCUUCGGGGCACGAAACUAGGUGCUGCAUGGUUGUCGUCAGCUCGUGCCGUGAGGUGUCGGGUUAAGUCCCAUAACGAGCGCAACCCCUACCGUUAGUUGCCAGCAGGUCAAGCUGGGCACUCUGACGGGACUGCCGGUGUAAGCCGAGAGGAAGGUGGGGAUGACGUCAAAUCAGCACGGCCCUUACGUCCGGGGCUACACACGUGUUACAAUGGCAGGUACAGAGGGCAGCUACCCAGCGAUGGGAUGCGAAUCUCGAAAGCCUGUCUCAGUUCGGAUUGGAGGCUGAAACCCGCCUCCAUGAAGUUGGAUUCGCUAGUAAUCGCGCAUCAGCCAUGGCGCGGUGAAUACGUUCCCGGGCCUUGUACACACCGCCCGUCAAGCCAUGGAAG
rnacentral:rRNA from 1 species